UGAGGGGAUCCCUAUUUCACGUUAGGCAAAAUUGUUGUCAAAAUCGCGAAGAACCAUGAUGAGCACAUGUAAAAAUGCUCGAUGAUCUAAAGGGGUCCCCUCACUGUAAGGUGGGGGGAUCCCUUUUUCACUUUAGAGCAAAGAUGUGGUGAAAAUCACAAUACCCGUAAAGUCAAAGGGUUCGAUUCCGGAGAGGGAGCCUGAGAAACGGCUACCACAUCUAAGGAAGGCAGCAGGCGCGCAAAUUACACAAUCCCAGUACGGGGAUGUAGUGACGAAAAAUAACAAUACGGGACUCUAUUGAGGCCCCGUAAUUGGAAUGAGUACAAUUUAAAUCCUUUAACGAGGAUCUAUUGGAGGGCAAGUCUGGUGCCAGCAGCCGCGGUAAUUCCAGCUCCAAUAGCGUAUAUUA
rnacentral:rRNA from 1 species